GUGUAGUAGUUGUGGUAGGUAGGUAUGGUAGUUUUGGUAGGUAGGUGGGGUAGUUGUGGUACAUAUGUGUGGUGGUUGUGCUAGGUAGGUUUGGUGAUGGUAGGUUUUGUAGUUGUGGUGAUGAUAGGUGUGGUAGGUGUGUUAGUUUUGGUAGGUUGGUGUGGUGGUUGUGGUACAUAGGGGCGGUAGUUGUGGUAGGUAGAUGUGGUAGUUGGGAUAAGUAGGUGUGGUAGUUGUGGUAGUUGUGGUGAUUAGGGUUGGGCGGUAUCCAGAUGUUCAUAUUGUCAUACCAUCCUUCUCUCAUACCGGGAUUUACAGUAUUACCGGCAUAGCACAUGAGUGGGUG
ensembl:lncRNA